ACGGAGGGUGCGAGCGUUAAUCGGAAUUACUGGGCGUAAAGCGCGCGUAGGCGGCUUUGUAAGUCAGGGGUGAAAGCCCACGGCUCAACCGUGGCAUUGCCUUUGAUACUGCAGAGCUUGAGUUCGGGAGAGGGUGGUGGAAUUCCAGGUGAAGGAGAGAAAUCCGUAGAGAUCUAGAGGAAUUACAGAGGCGAAGGCGACCCCCUGGCACAAAACGGACGUUGAGCUGCAGAAGGGUGGGUUUCAAACAG
rnacentral:rRNA from 1 species